UGCCCGGUCUGUUGUGUUGUAUCGCGUCCGUGGGUGCUGUGCAGGGGGUUGUCGUUAAGAUUCAAGAUGGCGAAGACGUCUCUAGAAUAUUUUUUUGUGUUUUGCUCAUUUAUGUUGUUCAAAGUGUAGUAUUGAUAGCUUAUUAUGCAGUGAACUAUCGUGGAAGUGUACAGUUAAUGAAAAACUAAUCUUGAAACGCGCUUAACCAUGUUUUAAUCAACAUCCGGCAAUUCAUCGUGGCUUUUAGUAAAGUCCAGCUAUCUCUUUACUAAAAGAUUAUAUGAUCUGUGCUAAAAGCAACUACCGAACAACGUCAUGAUCUACGAGCACACUUAAAACUUACAACGAAACUUGACAUUGGCAAAAUCAUCAUAGAUUUGAUGGAAGCCAUAUUUUAAAAGAAGAAGAAGGGUGCUGUGCAAUUCGAGACUCUUAAAGGCGAUAUAGAUAAAGCCAAAAGAAAACUGAAACUGGUCGAGGAGACAUCAGACUUACAGACUGAAGCAGAAGAAGAACCAAAUUUUAAGCGGAAAAGAAAUAACAGAUAUGUAUAUUUCCACAAGCGAUGAAGAUGACGGUCACAUAACGCCACCACCAAUUAAGUAAAAAUUCUUUAACAAAACUGCUGCUGCUGCUUACUAUAGAGAUACCCGUCAGGCUCAUCCAAACAUUACCCGAGAUUCCCGGGAAGUUCCUUCAUCACCAGAAAAAACCCUCUCAUUGCUGAAUGUAGUUGACGGGCUUCCUGUCUUGACAAACAGUGUCCUGCAAGAUUUAACAGAAGACGGCGAGGGGCGGCUAACUCCGGUUUCACGCAUACGUACUCCUUGGUCGCGAAAAGAACAACCACCGAAUCUUGGCAGCGACGUGCCAGCAACGCCAUCGUGCGGUCAAGGAUUAAAAGGUUUGCAUGAUACAGUGGUGUCACUACUGGCCCACAUAAAGGCCCAGAAUGAUAUAAUCAUCUCGAUUUUGCGAGAAAAACAUACAAGAUUGGAUUUAAAACCAGAGUUAAAAUUUCCCAUCAAAACUUAGGAGGAGUUGGAAAUUGUGGAAAAAUUAUUAACGUCACAAGAAAACCAUGCUAACGUGAUAGCUUAAAAAGUGCCACAACAACAGAAAAAUAUUAAAGACAGUAUAAAAGUUUGGCUCAAGCACGCACCGGAGAGAACAAAAAAAGCGCUUGAUAACAGUGUACAUCAGAAUGGCAUACAAUAAAAAUAAAAAAGUUUUGGUAGGUGACCGUCAAAUGUUUCGAAGAGUUAGGAAAGAAUAACAAAAAAUGUUAUUGGAUAUUCAGCAGACUGCUGCAUUCAGAAAUAUACCAUCACCAUCAUCAACUAAUUUAGCAUUGUCACCAGAAAGUACAUUCGCUGCUACAGUUACAUGUUGUAGCAGUAUCCCGGAACACAGAGCCAAUUCCGAAAGUAGUAUCGCCGAAAAUAUUUCUACAUCUUUAGAACAGAAUUCUGCAGACUUUGUUUCAAAAUCUGAUAAUUCCAAAGAUUUACCAUCUCAAUUAAGACAUUGGGCUACUGUAGAAUACAAAAUUCCACACAAUGCUCUUAACAGUCUGUUGAAAAUUCUUAAUCCUAUUUGUCCCGACCUACCUGGAGAUAGUAGAACCCUUUUAAAUACACCAAUGAAUAUAUCAAGUAUCUCUUUGGAGUCUGGAGAAUUAGUGCACAUUGGUCUCAUGAAUCAAAUUCAGGAACAAUUAUAUUAUUAGUUAUACAGUGUAACCAAAUUUAAAAAUAAAGAAAUAUUGUUGUCGUUUAACCCAUCCAGGGUUGCCGCUUUUCAAAAGUUCCAAUACACAAUUAUGGCCUAUACUAGGGUUAAUCAAAAACUUUCAUAAUGCACAACCAUUUAUUGUAAUAUCUCUUUUCUGUGGAAAUUCUAAACCUUCGCCCUUGACUCUGUUUUUGGACCCAUUUGUUGAUGAACUAUCUAAAUUACUUAAUGAUGGAAUCGAUUUCGAAGGGAUUUGUUAUGUAGUCAAAGUACAUAGUUUUGUGUGUGACGCUCCUGCUAGAGCUUUCAUUAAAUGUACUAAAACACAUGGUGGAUAUUCAUCUUGUAAUAAAUGUGUAGACCCGGGUGAAUAUAUUCAGGGUCGAGUAAUUUAUAACAGCGCGUCUGCUACUAGGAGAACUGACAUACAGUUUCGUUUGCAGUCUGAUGAAGACCAUCACCUCGGUGAGUCUCCACUUGUUGCCCUUCCUAUAGAUUUAGUAGCAUCGUUUCCCGUCGAUUAAAUUACAUGCACGCCGUAUGUUUAGGAGUCAUGAGGAAACUUAAAUGUUUGGGUCGGCGGUGAUUUAAAUGUUCGCUUAAGUAGUCGUUUAGUGAAAAUAAUUUCGGAAAAGUUGUUGAACUGUGCCAGUUAUAUACCUGUAGAGUUUAACAGGCGACCGCGAAGUUUGAGCGAGUUGGCUCGCUGGAAAGCUACAGAAUUUAGGAUGUUUUUGUUAUAUACGGGACCCGUAGCUCUAAAAAAUAUUCUUCCGGUCUCACUGUAUGAAAUUUUUUUGUUGUUUCAUUGUGCUAUAACAAUUCUCAUUUCUCCUAAACAUAUUAACCAAAGAGGUACAGAUUUAGCGCACGAAUUGUUAUUAAUGUUCAUAAAACAUUCCAUAACUGUUUAUGGCCGUACAUUUAUAGUUUAUAAUGUUCAUAUAUUAUGUCAUUUAUGCGAUGAUGUUAGUUUAUUUGGCGCUUUGGACAAUUACUCCGGAUUUCCGUUCGAAAAUUAUUUGGGCAUGUUAAAACAUUUGGUAAGGUCGCCUAACAAACUAUUACUACAAAUUGUUAAAAGAUUAAAAGAAAUGAAGCCAUCAUUGCCUCCAAAAUAUGAAGUAGAGUUACCAGCUGCUUUUUAUUGCAAUAGUUUAGGACCAACGCCUAUUGAUAACAAUGUUUAAUAAUAAUAAUGUUGUUUAACGGUUUUACACUGUAUGUUAAAACCGUUCGUGUAGGUGAUUGCUUUUGUUAUACAAAUGGUAAAAUAGUUUAAAUACACAAUAUUCUUUGUUGUAAAAUCUAUUAAAAGCAAUGUUUCUUCAUUUAUGGAAAAGUCUCUGAACUCAGUUCUGAUUACAAAAUUUUACCUCUGUGUGACAUUAUUUUAUAAUGUGUUGUUAUUCCCCAAGAUAUUAAUGGGAAUUGUUUUAUUUGUUUUCCUAUGCUCCAUGCAUAUUGUGAUUGAUUGAUGCUACGAGUAGCCAACAACUUACAUGGUAUUGUGUGUGACACUCCUGUAAAGCUUUAAUUUUAUUACUCUGCGUGAAUUGAUAUUUGUAAAGUAUCUGAACUGGGUUCUGAAUUUCUGAUUACAACAUUUUACCUCUGUGUGACAUUAUUUCAAAAUGUGUAAUUCCCCAAGAGACUAAUGGGAAUUGUUUUAUUUGUUCUCUUCUUCUUUUAAAAUAUGGCUUCCAUCAAAUGUAUGAUGAUUUUGCCAAUGUCAAGUUUCGUUGUAAGUUUUAAGUGUGCUCGUAGAGCAUGACGUUGUUCGGUAGUUGCUUUUAGUAAAGAGAUAGCUGGACUUUACUAAAAGCCACGAUGGAUUGCCGGGUGUUGAUUAAAAUACAUGGUUAAACGCGUUUCAAGAUUAGUUUUUCAUUAAGUGCACACUUCCACGAUAGUUCACUGCAUAAUAAGCUAUCAAUACUACACUUUGAACAACAUAAAUGAGCAAAACUCAAAAAAAUAUUCUCGAGACGUCUUCGCCAUCUUGAAUCUCAACGACAACCAUUUGUUCUCUUAUGCUCCAUGCAUAUUGUGAUUGAUUGAUGCUAUGAGUAGCCCAGGCAAAUUAAAUAAAUCUGGUUAAAUAAUAUUUA